GACGAACGCUGGCGGCGUGCUUAACACAUGCAAGUCGAACGGAAAGGCCCUGCUUUUGUGGGGUGCUCGAGUGGCGAACGGGUGAGUAACACGUGAGUAACCUGCCCUUGACUUUGGGAUAACUUCAGGAAACUGGGGCUAAUACCGGAUAGGAGCUCCUGCUGCAUGGUGGGGGUUGGAAAGUUUCGGCGGUUGGGGAUGGACUCGCGGCUCAUCAGCUUGUUGGUGGGGUAGUGGCUUACCAAGGCUUUGACGGGUAGCCGGCCUGAGAGGGUGACCGACCACAUUGGGACUGAGAUACGGCGCAGACGCCUACGGGAGGCAGCAGGGGGGAAUAUUGCACAAUGGGCGGAAGCGUGAGGCAGAAACGCCGCGUGCGGGAUGACGGCCUUCGGGUUGUAAACAGCUUUCGCCUGUGACGAAGCGUGAGUGACGGUAAUGGGUAAAGAAGCACCGGCUAACUACGUG
rnacentral:rRNA from 1 species